GUUCGAGUUAUUUUCUCCCACGUAAACUGACACAUGUCGCGUGAUGUGUUCAGACAGACAGACAAUACUGAUACAGGAUUAACAAUUGUUUUAUUCCAUUGAUUUUCAAUUCUCGAUUGUGUUCGAUGUCUGAAGCAAGAAGUGUUCUUAGAAGCUUCGCUUUGUUUGUGAAUUUUAAGAUCUCUUAACACCAAAGUGAUACAUAAGCAAGUUCACUGAGAGCUCUUGUUGGAAGUGUGCCAGGAAUAGAAAUCUGCUCUUCGCUCUGAUCCCUUUACUGACGCAGCGAACGGCUGAUUCGCGAAAAAACAGCGAACUCUUUUGGAAUUUAUCCACCGACAGCUGUUGUUGCAAGCGGGCCGAGAGAAAAUUCAAUUUCCAUUUUAAGGCAAAAGAAUGUUUAUACUUCCAGAUUAAAAGUCUCCAAUCACCCAUAAAUGAUCAGAGAAGGUGCAUGUGCGGCCGACUCAACCAAAUCGGUCGGUGAAGGCCGGUUCGUGUCUGUUUUCUGUGAGGAGUAGGUUUUUUGUAUUUGGCUGGCAUGAAGUUCCACAGCUGGAGGAGAAAUGUUCGGCAU